AUGCACGCUGGCGGCGUGCCUCAUCCCUGCAAGUCGCGCGAACAGACGAGGAGCUUGCUCCUCUGACGUUAGCGGCGGACGGGUGAGUAACACGUGGAUAACCUACCUAUAAGACUGGGAUAACUUCGGGAAACCGGAGCUAAUACCGGAUAAUAUAUUGAACCGCAUGGUUCAAUAGUGAAAGACGGUUUUGCUGUCACUUAUAGAUGGAUCCGCGCCGCAUUAGCUAGUUGGUAAGGUAACGGCUUACCAAGGCAACGAUGCGUAGCCGACCCGAGAGGGUGAUCGGCCACACUGGAACUGAGACACGGUCCAGACUCCUACGGGAGGCAGCAGUAGGGAAUCUUCCGCAAUGGGCGAAAGCCUGACGGAGCAACGCCGCGUGAGUGAUGAAGGUCUUCGGAUCGUAAAACUCUGUUAUUAGGGAAGAACAAAUGUGUAAGUAACUAUGCACGUCUUGACGGUACCUAAUCAGAAAGCCACGGCUAACUACGUG
rnacentral:rRNA from 1 species